rnacentral:ncRNA from 1 species
UAGAGGUUUUUUAGCCUCCAAUUUUUGUACAAAUUUAUUUUACAUGUAAAAUUUAGUUCGAAAAAAUUUAAUUUUAAAAAAAGAAUUUACAUUGAUUUACAGUAGUAAAAUUUAUUAAUUUAGGAAAUUAAGAAAUAGUAAAUUUUAAAGUUUAAACAAAAUUUGUGCCAGCAGUUGCGGUUACACAAAUUAGGCAAUAAAAAUUUUUUAGUGACAGUUAAUUGUAAACCCGAAAUUUAUAGAAGAAUUUUUUAAGUGAAAUUUUAAGUUCUUUUAAAUUUGGAUUUAGUUGAUGAAGCUGGGAAAAUUUCUAUAUAAACCAGGAUUAGAUACCCUAUUAUUGAAAAAGUAAAUUUUUUAACUAGGCUAGUAACAGAUAAGUUCUUAAAAAUCAAAAAAGAUGGCGGUAUUUUAGUCUAUUCAGAGGAACCUGUUCUAUGAUUGAUGAUCCACGAUUUGAAUUACUUGAUUUUUUAGUUUUCAUAUCGUUGUAGUUUGAAUAUUUUUAUAGAAUAAAUAUUCUUGAUUCCUAGCGGAAAUAAAUCAAAUCAAGAUGUAGCCAAUAAUUAAGCAGAAAUGGGUUACAAUAAAUUUAUUUAUAUGAAUAAAUUUUUUAAAAGAAAUUUUGAAGGUGAAUUUGAUAGUAAUUUUUUAAAAAUUUUAAGUAUGAUUUAGCUCUAAAAUAUGUACAUAUCGCCCGUCGCUUUCGUUUUUAAAAUGAAAUAAGUCGUAACAAAGUAGAGGUACUGGAAAGUGUCUCUAGAAGUCA